rnacentral:rRNA from 1 species
UAACGGAUUGAGGUGCCAGACGCGUAGGACGUUGAAGGGUGUAGGUAAGUCCGCACCCCGAGUCCGAAACGUGAUGGGGUGCCUUAGAGCCACAAGUGAUUGAGCCAUGCCGCCUAGAAAAGCUUCUAAGCGUUGAUAUUUGAGUGACCGUACCGCAAACCGACACUGGUAGGUGGGUAGAAUAUACCAAGGGGAGCGAGAGAACCUUCGUUAAGGAAUUAGGCAAAUUUCCCCCGUACGUUCGCAAUAAGGGGGGCCUCUGGUGGUGAGCUUAAUCGCAAAGCUGCUGGAGGCCGCAGAGAAAUGGCUCUUCCAACUGUUUAACAAAAACACAGGUCUCUGCUAAGUCGAAAGACGAAGUAUAGGGGCUGACGCCUGCCCAGUGCUGGAAGGUUAAGGGGAGAGGUUAGGCGCAAGCCGAAGCUUUGAGCCGAAGCCCCAGUGAACGGCGGCCGUAACAAUAACGGUCCUAAGGUAGCGAAAUUCCUUGUCGGGUAAGAUCCGACCCGCACGAAUGGCGUAAUGAGAGGAGCACUGUCUCAACGAGGGACUCGGCGAACAUUGAAGGACGUGUGAAGAUACACGUGACCCGCAGCGGGACAAAAAGACCCCGUGAAGCUUUACUACAACUUGCCAUUGAGUUAGGGCUAAACCUGUGUAGUAUAGGUGGGAGGCUUUGAAGCUGGGACGCCAGUCUCGGUGGAGCCACCGUUGAAAUACCACCCUGGUUUAUUCUUGGCUCUAACCUGUCGCCGUUAUCCGGCAUGGGAACAGUGGCUGGUGGGUAGUUUGACUGGGGCGGUCGCCUCCGAAAGCGUAACAGAGGCGCCCAAAGGUUCCCUCAGGCUGAAUGGAAACCAGCCGUUGAGUGUAAAGGCACAAGGGAGCUUGACUGCAAGACCAACAAGUCGCGCAGGGACGAAAGUCGGGCUUAGUGAUCCCACGGUUCAGAGUGGAAUGGCCGUGGCUUACCGGAUAAAAGCUACUCCGGGGAUAACAGGGUAGUCUGGUCCAAGAGUUCAUAUCGACGACCAGGUUCGCCACCUCGAUGUCGGCUCAUCACAUCCUGGGGCUGGAUAAGGUCCCAAGGGUUGGGCUGUUCGCCCAUUAAAGUGGUACGUGAGCUGGGUUCAGACCGUCGUGAGACAGGUCGGUCUCUAUCCGCUGUGGGCGUAAGGGAUUUGAGAGAAGCUGCCCCUAGUACGAGAGGACCGGGGUGGACGGACCUCUAGUGUGCCAGUUGUUCUGCCAAGAGCAUUGCUGGGUAGCUACGUCCGGCAGAGAUAACCGCUGAAAGCAUCUAAGUGGGAAACUCGUCUCAAGAUUAGAUCCCUCAUCCGUAUGGAGUAAGACCGCUAGAAGACGACUAGUUUGAUAGGCGGCAGGUGUAAGCGCAGUAAUGUGUUCAGCUUAGCCGUACUAAUGGUCGAGGGCUUACGUU